AUUGUUUCUUCUAAAACUCAAACUCGUCAAGUUUGAGAAGCCUGUAGAUUUUUCUAAAAGAUAAAUAUUACAAAAACUAAUCCCAAUUAUGACUGCAUGCUUAAUCCCAUAAUUUGAGAAAAAUGAAGGGUAAAAAAGAUUCAAACAGAGAAAAGGGGAAAAAAAAUAAAGAACAGGGAAGUGCAAUAAAGAGUUACAUACAUGAAAAGAUAAAUAUAUUAAUGAACAAGAGUAAGCACAAGUAAGUACAACAGUAUCCCAAUUAGGGGUGGUUAGAGUUGAAGGAGGAAGAAAUUGAACUUUAUUAUUUCUGAUGAUUAUUAGGCAUAUGGUAGACACGUGGUGUCAAAAUCGCAUAAUAUAACACACAACAUGGGCAAAACUCAUCAAAACAAACAAACAGCAACAGAUUAAUACUUUUAGAACUCUCCUCAUGCCAUAUCUUGAUGCUUAAACUUGAUAAAAUUCAAAUGAAGGUCCAACCAUCCACAUGCCUAAGAAGUAUAAUUUUCCUAGAUUAAUAGAAUAAAGAAUUCUAUUCAUGCAUAAACUACUUCCCAUCAAGUGAAGGUCUAAAAGAAGUCAGAUGAGAAGCAACCAAACAAUCUAAAGUUGCUUUCAAGUUUAAAGUGGUUUGGGAGCAUUAGACAAUAAAAAGGCUUAAAUAAGCCCACAAAAUUAUAAAUAUACCCCGAUAAUGGUAAACAAAAAUAGAAAUAUGAGUGUUGUUAAGCAGUUACAAUUGGCUUCCCUCUGAAGCAUGGAGGUCAACUGGCUAAAAGAAAUCGAGAAUGUAGGCAAGAUAAAGGACUCUCCUUUAUUCUAAUUGGCUUAGGUCCAGAGUAGCAUUGCAUUCAGAUCACAAUCAACAUGUUUUGCUACUUUCCUCUUCCUUUUAUUAUCUUAUUGCUUUAUAUUACUCAGUCCUACCUUUGUCCUACACCAUUUUCUACAAAGUUCAGAAAAAUAUCAUCAUAAAACAACAUAAUUGUGGAAUAGAAGGGCAGAAAAAAAGGAGUUUUUU
rnacentral:misc_RNA from 1 species